UCCGUAGACUGUAUUGUAAGUUAUUUGUUAAAUCCUAAAGCCUAACUUUAGAAAAGCAUUUAAUACUACUAUACUUGAGUUUUUUGUCAGAAGAGUAGAAUUUCAUGUCGAGGAGUAACGACUGCAGACACAUGAAGGAAUAUCAGCAGCGAAGGCGGCUCUUUGGUAAAAACCGACGUUGAGGGACGAAAGUGUAGGUAGCAAACA
rnacentral:rRNA from 1 species